ACUCCUACGGGAGGCAGCAGUAAGGAAUAUUGGACAAUGGUGGCAACACUGAUCCAGCCAUGCCGCGUGCAGGAUGACGGCCCUAUGGGUUGUAAACUGCUUUUGUACGGGAAAAACCCUCGUUCGUGAACGAGGCUGAUGGUACCGUAAGAAUAAGGAUCGGCUAACUCCGUGCCAGCAGCCGCGGUAAU
rnacentral:rRNA from 1 species